rnacentral:lncRNA from 1 species
AAAUGCUCACUGCUGAAACAGCACCACACGUUAACAGCAAGCGGAAGAGUAAGGUAUCUGCAGUUCAAGCAGUGCAAAGGUGUUCCUUCUAGAUCGGAUGGAGCUUGGAAGUAUUUCAAGACGUUGCAGCUCAGGUGCCCAUGGGCCAAAGGGCCUUCAUUGUUGCAAAAGAUGUGUCGCCGGCAGACGCUGCUGUGCAAGGUGCUGCUUCUAUUGUUCUUGCGCCAGCUGUCACCCAUCACGCCGGCACCACUAUGACUGGUUUUGCCACAAGCGUCUUGGUGUCCUGAUGUCGCAGAGAAUUGUUGUGUGACCACAUCGUCAGCAAAGUAUGAAGCAUCAUCAUUUCCACCGCAUCCCGCCUCGCAAUUCUGGAUGGUACAGCGUUCUCCAUUCAGCAAGAUGGAACAGUCAGUGAACAAAUCUGCGCAAUACUGUUGCAUUGUGGAAAUCAUACAGGUACCAUGGGUGUUAAGAAGUUUUGAUAUUCCUUCUAUGUAAUAUAAAUUCGAGAUUUAAAGAUAA